UACGUAGGCAGCAAGCGUUGUUCGGAGUUACUGGGCGUAAAGCGUGCGCAGGCGGUUUUGUAAGUCUGUUGUGAAAUCCCCGGGCUCAACCUGGGAAUGGCAAUGGAGACUGCAAGGCUAGAGUUUGGCAGAGGGGGGGUAGAAUUCCACGUGUAGCAGUGAAAUGCGUAGAUAUGUGGAGGAACACCGAUGGCGAAGGCAGCCCCCUGGGUCAAAACUGACGCUCAUGCACGAAAGCGUGGGGAGCAAACAGG
rnacentral:rRNA from 1 species